ACCUACGGGUGGCAGCAUCAGGGAAUCUUGCGCAAUGGGCGAAAGCCUGACGCAGCGACGCCGCGUGUGGGAUGAAGGUCUGCGGAUCGUAAACCACUGUCAGGCGGGAAGAAUAAUGACUGUACCGCCAGAGGAAGCCCCGGCUAACUACGUGCCAGCAGCCGCGGUAACACGUAGGGGGCCAGCGUUGUCCGGAAUUACUGGGCGUAAAGAGCGCGUAGGCUGUUUGGUAAGCGGAGGGUGAAAUUCCGGGGCUCAACCCCGGAGCUGCUCUCCGAACUGCCAGACUAGAGUUUGGGAGAGGGUAGUGGAAUUCCUGGUGUAGCGGUGGAAUGCGUAAAUAUCAGGAAGAACACCUGUGGCGAAGGCUGCUACCUGGAACAAUACUGACGCUGAGGCGCGAAAGCUAGGGGAGCGAACGGGAUUAGAUACCCGUGUAGUC
rnacentral:rRNA from 1 species